GACGAACCGAGCGAACGUUGUUCGGAAUCACUGGGCUUAAAGGGCGCGUAGGCGGGUGCUCAAGUCCGGGGUGAAAUCCUCCAGCUCAACUGGAGAACUGCCUCGGAUACUGGGUGCCUCGAGUGUGGUAGGGGUGUGCGGAACUAUCGGUGGAGCGGUGAAAUGCGUUGAUAUCGAUAGGAACUCCGGUGGCGAAGGCGACACACUGGACCACAACUGACGCUGAGUCGCGAAAUCCAGGGGAGCAAACGGG
rnacentral:rRNA from 1 species